rnacentral:ncRNA from 1 species
AACGACCGGCUGGACACCUCUGUGUCCGGCCCACAAGUGGAGGCUCCGUACUCCCACCUGACCACCCUCGCGGGUGGCGGGUCACCGGUCAGGUGGCGCCCAUCGUUCCGUACGGACGAUGGAGCCGCCCGAUGCGCGCCCCGCGGUUCACCGUGGUGGUGCUCCGGUUUUCCGUGGAGCCCCGCCUGUGUACCGUCCGGGGCAUUUUUC